rnacentral:lncRNA from 1 species
AGAGCCAUUAAUGUGGCGGCGAGUGAGGAUGUUGACGUCCUCUCCCUCUCGAUUGGGCUCGGAGCGCCUGAGGGCGAUGUGCCUGUUGGUCUCACAGACCUCCGGGAGAGAACAAACCACAGCUAUAGGUGGGGCUUCCGCCAUAAUACUACUACUACUGCAUUUCGCGCCUUCCGAAGUUAAUGGCCCCCUCGUAAUUAACUUCAACGCCCCAUAGGCUGGGGGCAGCCACAGAAGGC